GCUCGGGUGGUGGAACUGGUAGACACAUACGUUUGAGGGGCGUAUGCUUCACGGCGUGCGGGUUCAAGUCCCGCCCCGAGCA
rnacentral:tRNA from 1 species